UGGGGAAUUUUGGACAAUGGGGGAAACCCUGAUCCAGCCAUCCCGCGUGUGCGAUGAAGGCCUUCGGGUUGUAAAGCACUUUUGGCAGGAAAGAAACGUCAUGGGUUAAUACCCCGUGAAACUGACGGUACCUGCAGAAUAGGCACGGGCUAACUACGUGCCAGCAGCCGCGGUAAUACGUAGGGUGCAAGCGUUAAUCGGAAUUACUGGGCGUAAAGCGUGCGCAGGCGGUUCGGAAAGAAAGAUGUGAAAUCCCAGAGCUCAACUUUGGAACUGCAUUUUUAACUACCGGGCUAGAGUGUGUCAGAGGGAGGUGGAAUUCCGCGUGUAGCAGUGAAAUGCGUAGAUAUGCGGAGGAACACCGAUGGCGAAGGCAGCCUCCUGGGAUAACACUGACGCUCAUGCACGAAAGCGUGGGGAGCAAACAGG
rnacentral:rRNA from 1 species